CAUCAGCCGCGGUAAUACGGAGGGUGCAAGCGUUAUCCGGAUUUAUUGGGUUUAAAGGGUCCGUAGGCGGACUUAUAAGUCAGUGGUGAAAGCCUGUCGCUUAACGAUAGAACUGCCAUUGAUACUGUAAGUCUUGAGUAUAUUUGAGGUAGCUGGAAUAAGUAGUGUAGCGGUGAAAUGCAUAGAUAUUACUUAGAACACCAAUUGCGAAGGCAGGUUACCAAGAUAUAACUGACGCUGAGGGACGAAAGCGUGGGUAGCGAACAGGAUUAGAUACCCCGGUAGUCCCUGUCUCUUAUAC
rnacentral:rRNA from 1 species